GACGAACGCUGGCGGCGUGCUUAACACAUGCAAGUCGAACGGAAAGGCCCUGCUUUUGUGGGGUGCUCGAGUGGCGAACGGGUGAGUAACACGUGAGUAACCUGCCCCUGACUUUGGGAUAACUUCAGGAAACUGGGGCUAAUACCGGAUAGGAGCUCCUGCUACAUGGUGGGGGUUGGAAAGUUUCGGCGGUUGGGGAUGGACUCGCGGCUUAUCAGCUUGUUGGUGGGGUAGUGGCUUACCAAGGCUUUGACGGGUAGCCGGCCUGAGAGGGUGACCGGCCACAUUGGGACUGAGAUACGGCCCAGACUCCUACGGGAGGCAGCAGUGGGGAAUAUUGCACAAUGGGCGGAAGCCUGAUGCAGCAACGCCGCGUGCGGGAUGACGGCCUUCGGGUUGUAAACCGCUUUCGCCUGUGACGAAGCGUGAGUGACGGUAAUGGGUAAAGAAGCACCGGCUAACUACGUG
rnacentral:rRNA from 1 species